AUUGAACGCUGGCGGCAGGCCUAACACAUGCAAGUCGAGCGAGCGGCGGACGGGUGAGUAAUGUAUGGGGACUGCCCGAUAGAGGGGGAUAACAACUGGAAACGGUAGGUAUAACCGCAUACUAUCGGAUAACCCAUAUGGGAUUAGCUAGUAGGUGAGGUAAUGGCUCACCUAGGCGACGAUCCCUAGCUGGUCUGAGCGGAUGAUCAGCCACGCUGGGACGGAGAGCCGGCCGAGACUCCUACGGAGGCAGCAGUGGGGAAUAUUGCACAAUGUGCGCAAGCCUGAUGCAGCCAUGCCGCGUGUAUGAAGAAGGCCCUAGGGUUGUAAAGUACUUUCAGUCGGGAGGCGUUACCUACAGAAGAAGCACCGGCUAACUCCGUGCCAGCAGCCGCGGUAAUUC
rnacentral:rRNA from 1 species